rnacentral:lncRNA from 1 species
UGACCGCUAUUGGGCUUCCUUACGUAGAUCGUAGAGUGUUGGAUCAAGGUGUUAGAUGUUCCAAAGAUGAAAUCGAUGGUACCAGAGAUAACACAGUCGCGGUAGAAUUGCCUAUUGGAUUGAACGUACAAGGUGUCUUGGUAACCUACAAAUUCGCAACCAACGAAAGCAGACAUAUCUCCUUGGUUUCUCAAAGCAACGGCUUGAUGACCAUCAGGACCGAUUGUGUUCCGAAAUGUCAUUGCCUUUGCAAUGAACCCACGUGCAGUGUUGACUGCACACACGAAUGGAUAAUCAAUUAGAAAUGUCAUCCAUAAUGUAUAUAAAAUAAAAUAAAGUUACGACGAGAAUUGAAUUACGUACCAAAGGUGCCGGUGUACAUGGUCUUGAUAUUAGCUAUGCCAUAGUUCCUACUACCGGUGAUAAUGGUCAUUUGAGGGCCAUCACCAUACAUAGUCAAAUUAACGCAAUGUUUGGUGACAUUGACCUGCUCGUCAUAGACACCAGCCUUAACGUAGAUAAUAUAUCUUCCUUUGUUUCCCUUAGGGUAAGAAUUAAUAGCAUCCAUAAUUGUUUUAAAUUGGCCAGUACCAUCCUUGGCAACAACAACAUUAGGCUUAAUUUUUGAUCUCCAUCCUUUUCGUUGCAUUUGAGCCAAAAGCUUGCGGUCAGUAGCGGAGAUCCAUGUAGGGAAUCCUUGCUCAUUAUCAAUUUCCUUAGAUAGAAGACGACGAGAGUCAGGUUUGAGAUCCAAUUUCAAACCGAAUUCUUGGAGUAUGUUGGACAAAUCAGACACAAUGUCAAGAGCAACAACAGUGACCUUUGUCGCGCUGUCUAUAGUCUGAGCAUGUAAUUGAUCCUUAAUUUUCUUCUCACCCUCUUUUUCAUUGUCAAACCCUUCCAUGCAAGCUUGUUUGUAAGAGAUAACUGCACUCAACCAAUUCCUGAGAUCAGCAUUUUGAGCAUGAACAGAUUGAAUGUUUUUGUCACGAACCACGGUGGUGGAGAGAUCAAGACUGUCCAAAGCAAACUCCAUCAUCUCUUUGCAGCCAUCAAGAGCCAUCUUGAUGCCGCUAUCCUUGUCGCCGUACUCAACACUGAGUCUAUCACUCAUGUUAAAUGCCUUAAUGACAUUGUCAGUGGCUGCUUUCAAAGCAGCCGCUAGGUAUGCCUUAGGAUUUGCAGCAUCGGCGCCACAGACAGAGCUAAGAGUUUCAUAGCAGUAUUUUUGGUCUUCUGCAUUUUGGCAAAUAACUCCAAGAUAUCUUUGUUGAGUUUGAAUCUCAGGAUCUUCACCUUUUCUGUGAACAACAACAACAACACCGAUGGCAACACCUACAAUAAGUAUAAGAGAAACAAUAGAUAUAAUUAUCUUUCCUGACAUUUUUUAAUAUUUUGCUCGGAAAUUUUAUUAGAAUAAGACCCCUUCCCCUUGGGUGUUGGGGUGGGGAGGCUUAUUGGAGAUCUUACUGAGAUAUUGAAACAUGUUUAGUUUUUAUAGGUAACACAAAAAAAAUUCAGCCAACCAAAGAGAAAAUCUAUAUUUAGCAAUUUCAUAAAUGAUAGGCACAUAAUUAUCGUUAUGAAUGAGUUGAAAGUUGAAACAAUCUACUGCUAUUUUUUAGUACAGUAGAGCAUUUAUAUUUUAUAUAUGAUUAGCCAUCAUGCGAUAGAUCAUUCAAAAGAGAGAUGUAGAGAAAAUGGAAUGAAAUGCUCCAAUUUGAUCACAAUGAGUUUAUUAGAAUCACAAUUGCAUCGUAAUAUUUUAGAACAUAUACUUUUCAACUUUUGUAAAAUAUUUUAGAAUCUAACAAUUUUUUUUAUGAUAGUACAUAGGGCCGAUCUUUAGACUUUGAGUGCUCUAAACGAACUAAUAAGAUGGUUUUUUUUUUAACUUAAUAAUUUUAUGACAUUUUAUUCAUAGCAAUCGAUCGAAUAUAAUUUGAAAUAUUCAUAUAGCUCCUUCCUGCAACUCUACAACUUCCCAUGAGUUCUUUCCCAAAUAUGGAAAUGAACACUACAACAUCUCCUGAACCCAUAAUCUGUGAGCAUUAGAAAGUAGCCUCAAAUGCAUGGCAUGCAAAUCGGAUACUUUUUUUUUUCUUUAACGAUAAAUUUAUUAUUCAAAUGGAAGAAAGUACAACGAGCACUUUAGCCAAUUACAUAUCUUAUACCAAAUCUUCAUCGCAAACUUACAUGUAAUACAAAUCGGAUUCACAUGCAUCAAACAGCCUCCUGACUGUACAGCAUCAAAUGGUUACAUCUUCAGGUUUGUUCUGUAGACUAAGACAAGCCUGUUUAGUUUAUUUGGUUGUCAUUUUAAAUUAUGUGUUCUGAACAUAAAACUUUUUUGGUUAUUGAUCUGAGUUAUUGAUUUUUUAAAAUUUAUUUUGACUAAAAUUGAAGUAUAGGUAAAAUGAUUUAUGUUUGAAUACAAUAAUUAUAAAAGUGGGUUGAACAAUAAUUUUAAAUGUAAAAAUCAAUUUUUGAAGUAGAGAGACUACAAUUUCUAUUUUCAAAGAGAAAUAAAACAUGUCAAAAUCAAUUAUACAUCUCUAGAAUCAAUUUUGGCAUCACCAAAAGGAGAACCAUUCAUAUAUUGUACUAAUUAAGCUUGAAAGAUAGUUUUUAUUUUUUGUUUUAGUUAAGGACUGUUAUUAAGAAUGAUAAUUCACAAAAUCAAGUAUUAACAAGAGUGAAAUGUAUAAGGCUUGUCUUACCAAAUACUUUAUUUUCUUUAGUAUUAACCCUCUGAUUUCUCGGAGAAGGGGUCCGUCUAUACAAAGUUUAGCGCCGAGGUAAGUAAAAUCUUACUAAGAAUUAUUCCUAUUAGAAUCAAACUCAGAUUUUCCCGAACGAUUUGGCCUAGAGGAAACCCAUUAACCACUUGUGUCCAAUUUUUUUGUUUGACUUGCCAAAUAGUUGAUCAUAAAUGUUUUUGUAUAACAAGUAACAAGAAACUAUAGAGUAAAGACCAAAUUUGCUACAGGUUUGUGGAAAUCAGCACACACAAAGAAGUUCUUUAGUUAAAAAUAAUCAUUUGUUUACAUGAAGAUUAUUAGAUGUGCCCAGGAAAGGAAAACAAAGGGAACACUGGCACUUCAGUGUGCCCAGGAAGAGCGAGAAUAAAAUGGAUUGCCCUUCCUUCAAAGAAUCGGGAUGAGUUCACUUUGCAAUCAGUGAUCAUGUAACUUUUAUUGAUUCAAAUUAUUCAUUUUCACUUACAUUUAAAUAUAAUAUAUUGUAGGAGUAUACUAAGUAUUAAUAACCAUCAAUUGGAAUUGAAGUAUAUAUGAAGUUCCACGCAUGAUUCCUGCUCGGAAGUCAUCAAGGAAGAAAUGGAUUGUGUGAAGGACAGUCCUCCUUUUGCCUUUUGUAAGCCCUGCGUGAAAGUAGCAUAAAGGGUUUCGAUGUUAAUGAAUAAGUGCGAGGUUCAUUUGUAGUAGUAAUAUAUAUACAAAAUACAAAAAAAAUGUGAAACAUAAGCCACGGAAUUUGUAGUCAAGCAAGCACCUUGAAGCAUUGAAGCCACCAAGCGCAACUGUUCCCAGAAUAAUUAAAAGGAAUGGAACUUUAAUCAUGGCAUGAUUUUUUCUUCCUCCAUUGGCUCUUGGAACACCGGUUCUCACAACUCGCCAAUAUUCAGCUGAAAAACAAUCAUGCCACAUUUAAAUAAGGUAAAGAGAAGGAGGAAAAUUGCUUUUAAAUGAUGCACAGAACUGAGGAUUCGGAAUAGGAAUUAACCUGAAUUUGAAGCUUCUCCUUUUCCACCUGUGUUUUGAAUUUUAUUCAGUACUUUGAAAGAAGUUGCAAGACAGAUAUAAAAAAAAGCAGUAGGGAAGAUAAGGGCCUUUUACAAAUAAUAUAAUUUCCCAAUGAGUUCACAUCAAGAAGCUAAGGACCUGUUUUGGUUUCAAUUUUCUCUUCUCAUUUCUAAUUUUCACUUUCAAUUAUAAAAAACAUUGUUUUCACCUUGUUUUGGUUUUCAAAGUAUUUUAUACAUAAUUAUUUGAAAACAGAAAAUAAAAAGCAAAAACAAUGUGAUAUUAUGCAAUUAAAAGUGAAAAGAAAAAAUGAAAAAAAAGAAUGUAAACAGACCCAACAGACCCUUAUCUAUGCUCUAGGUAACUUAAUCACAUGUUGCCACUACCGAAGAUGGAAUUGUGAGACAAAAGAAACAAAAAAAUUGUAACUGCUAGAGUACUAGAACAACAACCUAAUGUUUCAUUCAAAUUAGGGGCUGGGUAGGAAGCCAAAAUAAUGAAAUAUAUAGGUAAAAUAUAAUCAUAUUUACAUAAUCUUUCGCUACAUGAUGCAUAUUUAUCAUAGACAUUCAAGCAUGAAAUUGCCUAUAGAUGCUGAUAGCUCCCAGAAUAUAUCAAGAACAUAGUGGAGCUUUUCGAAAGUUAUUUUUUCCAAUAAUCCAAUCUUCUAGUAGUCAAAGUACUCAUUUCGAGAUGGCCAUACGCUAUUCAUGAUUCAUGCUAAUGCUAUAAGUAUAAAUUGUGAAUUGAACUAAAAUAUCAAAGAUAUUAUUUUAAGGAUUGGUGAGCUGAGGAGUUUAAACACUUUUGUAAUUCAAUAACCAGUACUGAAUUUGGGGAAAUAAUAUAAUAAGGUAUAUAAAAUUAUUCAUCAACAUUCAGUUUCUCCUAUAAUUCCAACUGUAUGUUCAGGGGUUUGCAUACCAUGAACGACGUUUGGAAUAUUUAUUCUGAGUACAAGGACUCUGGAGAAUUACCGGGCAAUAGACAUGUGUAAGCUUCGGAAAUCUGCAGCAAAACAUAAGUUCAGUCACUUAUCACGUCUUCCAGUUAACAAAGGGGAAUUACUGCCUUCAAAGUGUUCUAUGAAGAAAAAAACUCCCAACUAAAAUCAAUAUUACGGAAAUUAUUACAUUGACACACGAAUCUCUAAAACAGAUAAACAGCCACUAUAUUCAUUCAAGACACAAUUAACCUGUGAGGAUGUUAUGACGAACUUUUUAUGUUCUGAGUCACAUACUCAUAUCAGUUUCCUCUUUACAAUCACAACACACCUUAAGCCACAAGAUUAAAACACUAGAACAAUACUAGGCUUAUACCAAAUGUUGUAAUUUUGAAGAAACUAAAUUAGCCCACCCAAAUUGGCACCAGAGAUAAUCAAACCUGAGACCUUAAGGAGGAGCACACUCCCACGUCCCAAGCUAAUACCACCAGACCAACCUAAGUGGGUUGGCUUAUAACAAAUGUUGUAAUAUUAUGUCGAACUCCUAGAACAAAUUCCCCUCCUCUAACAAACAAAUAAACCACUAAUAAUUUACAUACAAAAAAAAAAAAAAAAUCUUGUGAAAUCCCCAAGAUCACCAUCACAAUUCAUCACCAAAAUUCUUAUGACGAAAUAGAAAAAAAAAGGAAAAGAAAUUGAUUGAAUUGCUGACUCACUGAUUUAAACUUGGACUCAGCAAGAGGCUUCUGAUGAGAUGGAAAUAGGUCAGGGUGAGAUUCCCAAACCUUCUGUUUGUAAGCUGAUUUAACCUAAACACAAACAUCAUCAAGUUAAUAAUUAAGAAAUGAUUGAAAAUUAGGGAAACAAAGCACGAAGAUGAUAAUUGGAAAAUUAUGAUAGUGAAUUAAAGAGGGUCGGGAUCAAAAAGUGAAAUUGAGUUGAUAAAGGGAUUGAAUUUAGAUUAUAGAAAUAGAAAUUGAAAGAAUAAUAAAAACCCUAAAAAGAAAGAAGUAACUACCUGGGAAGGAGUUGGACGCGAAUUGGGCGGGAAACCGAGUAGGAUUCUGGCUUCAUUUGCAUCCAUUUUUUAUUGAUUGUUUGUAACACUCACAACAACCUUAAUUAGGAAAAUCGUGUGUUUUUUCUUUUUGUAUUUCUUGCAUGUGGUUUAUAUCUUGUCAUAAGGGGUAAAAUAAAGUCUAGACACAAGACUAUUUUUCUUGAAUGGUCAAUUAUUCUUUUGCAAUUGAUUGUUUCUAUAGUUAAAUAUGGAGUUGAUAUAAUAUGAUUGAUCAGUAAAAAAAAUCAAAACAAAAAUGAAAAUUGAAGCUUAUAAUAUAGUUUAGUCUGAGCAAAAUUUGAUUUGUAUUUAUGGUGGAUCUCCUGGAUAAAAACAGGAAAGAUAAUUACAAAAAAAUAUCGAAUUGUCUGUGUGCCAUCAUUCAUAUUCAUGAGUAAGUUACAUGUUUAAUUAAUUUCCAACUUUGAAGUCAAGGGUGUGAGGAACAUCAAGAGCCUUCAACCAGGUGGCUGCAGAAGUGUUUUCAGCCUGGAGCCAAUUAGCAGUGGUGAAGUUUCUAGCCUCGUCCCGGCUAAUCUUACCACGAUAACCCUUCCACUUGAUCCUUCUGGAAGUAUCGGCACUAAGUCCAGUGUUGUCAUACUCUGCUAAGUAACAUGUGUCCAAAUAUAGAUCAGUACCGUCCUUAGCUUUCAUAGCGACCCAUCCAUCUGGAUUAAUAAAGUCACCCAUGAAGGAUUCCAUGAAGACUAUCCUUGCAUUUGUCUUCCAUGGCCUGCCCAAGUAAGUUUGGAUUUGGUGCCUUACAGGGAACAAUUCACGCUCUGCGACGAUCUUGCAGUCCUGGAUCACAAUACCAGUGUUCAACUUCUUGGAAUCUUCUGAUCCGUCUGCGGUAAUUGCGUUGAAUUGACCCUGCAUGGGCUUCCUUACGAUGAUCGUAGAGUGUUGGAUCAAGGUGUUAGACAUUCCAAAGAUGAAAUCGAUGGUACCAGAGAUCUCACAGUUGCGGUAGAAUUGCCUAUUGGAUUGAGCGUACAAGGUGUCUUGGUAACCUACGAUUUUGCAACCAAUGAAAGCAGACAUAUCUCCUAGGUUUCUCAAAGCAACAGCUUGUUCGCCAUCAGGACCAGCUGUGUUCUCAAAUGUCAUGUCCCUUGCAAUAAACCGCAAUGCAUCGUUGCCUGCACCCACGCAUGGAUAAUCAAUUAGUAAUGUCAUUCAUAAUGUAAAUAAAAUAAAGCUAUGACGAGAAUUGAAUUAUGUACCAAAGCUGGCGCCAUGAUUGAUAUCAAUUUUAUCCUUGGCUUCGUUCUUACUACCGGUUAUAAUGGUCUUUCGAGGGCCAUCGCCGUACAUAAGCAAGUUACGGCAAUCUUUGAGGACAGUGAUUUGCUCGUCAUAGACACCAGCCUUAACGUACAUAACAUAUCUUCCUUCGUUUCCCUUUGGGCAGUGAUUAAGAGCAUCCGUAAUUGUUUUAAAUUGGCCAGUACCAUCCUUGGCAACAACAACAUUAGGCUUAAUUUUCAAUCUCCAUCUUUUUCCUUGCUUUUGAGCUAAAAGCUUGCGAUCAGUAGCAGAGACCCAGGUAGGGAAUCCUUCCUCGAUAUCAAUUUCCUUAGAUAGAAGACGACGAGAGGCAGGUUUGAGAUCUAACUUCAAACCGAAUUCCUGGAGUAUGUUGGACAAAUCAGACACAAUGUCAAGAGCAACAACGGUGACCUUUGUCGCGCGGUCUAUAGUCUGAGCAUGCAAUUGAUCCUUCAUCUUCUUCUCAACCUCAUUUUCAUCGUCAAAUCCUUCCAUGCAAGCUUGUUUGUAAGAGAUAACUGCACUCAACCAAUUCCUGAGAUCAGCAUGUUGAGCAUGAACAGAUUGAAUGUUUUUGUCACGAACCACAGUGGUGGAGAGAUCGAGACUGUCCAAAGCAAACUCCAUCAUCUCUUUGCAGCCAGCAAGAACCAUCUUGGUGUGCCUAUCCUUGUCGCCGUACUCAACAAUGAGUCUAUCACUCAUGUUAAAUGCCUUAAUGACAUUGUCAGUGGCUGCUUUCACUGCAGCCGCUAUGUAUGCCUUAGGAUCUGAAGCGUCAGCGCCACGGAUAGAGCUAAGAGUUUCAUGGCAGAGUUUUUGGUCUUCUGCAUUUUGGCAAAUAACUCUAAGAGAUCUUUGUUGAGUUUGAAUCUCAGGAUCUUCACCUUUUUUGUGAACAGUAACAACAACACCGAUGGCAACACCUACAACAAGAAUAAGAGAAAUAACAGAUAUAAUUAUCUUUCCUGACAUUUUUUAAUAUUUUGCUCGGAAAUUUUAUUAGAAUAAGACCCCUUCCCCUUGGGUGUUGGGGUGGGGAGGCUUAUUCGAGAUCGUACUGAGAUAUGGAAACAUGUUUGGUUUUUAUAGCUAAACUCAAAAAAAAUUAAGCCAACCAAAGAGAAAAUCUAUAUUUAGCAAUUUCAUAAAUGAUAGGCACAUAAUUAUCGUUAGGAAUGAGUUGAAACAAUCUACUGCUAUUUUUUAGUACAGUAUAGCAUUUAUAUUUUAUAGUAUAUGAUUAUCCACCAUGCACUAUUUGAUAGAUCAGUCCAAAGAGAGAUAUAGAGAAAAUGAAAUGAAAUGCUCCAAUUUGAUCACAAUGAGUUUAUCAGAAUCACAUAUGCAUCGUAAUAUUUUAGAACANNNNNNNNNNNNNNNNNNNNNNNNNNNNNNNNNNNNNNNNNNNNNNNNNNNNNNNNNNNNNNNNNNNNNNNNNNNNNNNNNNNNNNNNNNNNNNNNNNNNNNNNNNNNNNNNNNNNNNNNNNNNNNNNNNNNNNNNNNNNNNNNNNNNNNNNNNNNNNNNNNNNNNNNNNNNNNNNNNNNNNNNNNNNNNNNNNNNNNNNNNNNNNNNNNNNNNNNNNNNNNNNNNNNNNNNNNNNNNNNNNNNNNNNNNNNNNNNNNNNNNNNNNNNNNNNNNNNNNNNNNNNNNNNNNNNNNNNNNNNNNNNNNNNNNNNNNNNNNNNNNNNNNNNNNNNNNNNNNNNNNNNNNNNNNNNNNNNNNNNNNNNNNNNNNNNNNNNNNNNNNNNNNNNNNNNNNNNNNNNNNNNNNNNNNNNNNNNNNNNNNNUUGAUCACAAUGAGUUUAUUAGAAUCACAAAUGCAUCGUAAUAUUUUAGAACAUGUACUUUUCAACUUUUGUAUAGUUUUUUUUUUUUGUUGGUUUUUCACCACCAGUUGAAUCUGGUUCGGGGUCAGUUCUGGCAUCAAUUNNNNNNNNNNNNNNNNNNNNNNNNNNNNNNNNNNNGUUGCGGGGGAUCGAUCUUUAGACUUUGAGUGCUCUAAACAACUAAUAAGAUGGAUUGAAAAGAAGGUUUCACUAGUCUUGAAAUUCUUCUUCCCAGUUUCAAUAGUUUUCCUCUUAAGGCUUGUUUUCUUCCAACCUUAGGUAGCAGAUUAUUGUUCUACAUCUGUUGAUGAUCAUUGCAGAUUUUUAAUUCUGUGGCAUUGCUUUCCCUGCUAUCUUUUCUCCACAAAUUGAUUUGAAGUAUAAGGGGUACUCGCCCCAGAAGAAAGUACAAUGAACACUAUAGCCAAUUACAUAUCUUAUACCAAAUCUUCAUCGCAAACUUACAUGUAAUUGCAUCUUCAGUUUUGCAUCUUCAGUUUUAGUGAAGGUUAUUUGCAGUAUUUGAAUACAAUAAUUAUAAUGUGGGUUGAACAAUAAUUUUAAGUGUAAAAAUCAAUUUUUGAAGUAGAGACUACAAUUUCUAACUUCAACUAGAACCUAUUUUACACUAGAGAAAUAAAACAUGUCAAAAUCAAUUAUACAUUUCUAGAAUCAAUCUUGGCCUCUCUAGAAGAACCAUUCAUAUAUUGUACUAAGCUUGAAAGAUAGUAUAUUUGAAAUAGUUAAGGACUGUUAUUAAGAAUGAUAAUUCACUAAGAAUAGAAAAUCAAGUUUUAACAAGAGUGAAAUGUAUAAGGCUUGACAUACCAAAUACUUUAUUUCUUUCGUAUUAACCCUCGGAUUUUCAGGAGAAGAGGUCCGGUUAUACAAAGUUUGGCCGCGAGGUAAAUAAAAUCUUACCAAGAAUUGUUCCCAUUAUAAAUCAAACUCGGAUUUUACCGAAUGAUUCGUCCUAGAAGAAACUCAUUAACCAGUUGUGCCCAAUUUUUUGGUUUGACUUGCUAAAUAGUUGAUCAUAAAUGUUUUUGUAUAACAAGUAACAAGAAACUAGAGUUAAGACCAAAUUUACUACAUAUUUGAUGGAAAUUAAAUCAGCACACAAAAAGAACUUCUUUAGUUAAAGGUAAUGAUUGGUUUACUUUAGCAUAUAUUUAGUUGAAGCUAACAAAACUGAUUUUCACAACAUAAGAAAUCAUGAAGAUUAUUACAUGUGCCCAGGAAGACAAAGGGAAGAAUAAAAUGGAUUGUCAUUCCUUCAAAGAAUCAGGAUGAGUUCACUUUGCAAUCACUGAUCAUGUAAACUUUUAUUGAUUCAAAUUAUUCAUUUUCACUUACAUUUAAAUAUAAUAUAUUGUAGGAGUAUAUACUAAGUAUUAAUAACCAUCAAUUGAAAUUGAAGUAUAUAAGAAUAAAGUUUCAGGCAUGCAUGAUUCCUGCUCAGGAGUCAUCAAGGAAGAAAUGGAUUGUGUGAAGGAUAGUCCUCCUUUUGCCUUUUGUAAGCCCUGCGCGACAGUAGCAUAUAGGUUUCGAUGUUAAUGAAUAACAAUCAUGCCACAUUUAAAUAAGGGAAAGAGAAGGAGGGAAAUUGCUUUUAAAUGAUGCACAGAACUGAGGAUUCGGAAUAGGAAUUCACCUGAAUUUGAAGCUUCUCCUUUUCCACCUGUGUUUUGAAUUUUAUUCAGUACUUAGAAAGAAGUUGCAUGACCAGAUAUAAAAAAAAAAAGCAGUAGGGAAGAUAAGGGCUAGUAUACUAGGACAACAACCUAAUGUUUCAUUCAAAUUAGGAGCUGGGGAGGAAGGCAAAAUAAUGAAAUAUAUAGGUAAAAUAUGAUCAUAUUUACUUAGUUUUUCGCUAUAUGGCCAUACGCUAUUCAUGAUUCAUGGGAUGCAAUGCUCUAAGUAUAAAUUGUGAAUUGAACUAAAAUAUCAAAGAUAUUAUUUUAAGGAUUGAUGAGCUGAGGAGUUUAAACACUUUUGUAAGUCAAUAACCAGUACUGAAUUUGGGGAAAUAAUAUAAUAAGGUAUAUAAAAUCAUUCAUCAACAUUCAGUUUCUCCUAUAAUUACAACUGUAUGUUCAGGGCUUCAUUUGCAUCCAUUUUUGAUUGAUUGUUUGUAACACUCACAAACAAAACACUCACAACCUUAAUUAGGAAAAUCGUGUGUUUUUUGAAUUUCUUGCAUGUGGUAUAUAUCUUGUCAUAAGGGGUAAAGUAAAGUCUAGACACAAGACUAUUUUUUUUGAAUGGUCAAUUAUUCUUUUGCAAUUGAUUGUUUCUAUAGUUAAAUAUGGAUUUGAUAUAUGAUUGAUCAGUAAAAAAAAUCAAAACAAAAAUGAAAAUUGAAGCUUAUAAUAUAGUUUAGUCGGAGCAAAAUUUGAUUUGUAUUUAUGGUGGAUUUCCUAGAUAAAAACAGGAAAGAUAAUUACAAAAAAAUAUCGAAUUGUCUGUGUGCCAUCAUUCAUAUUCAUGAGUAAGUUACAUAUUUAAUUAAGAUCUAACUUUGAAGUUAAGGUAGUUAGGAACAUGAAGAGCCUUCAACCAGGUGGCUGCGGAUGUGUUUUCAGCCUUGAGCCAAUUAGCAGCGGUGAAUCUUUCAGCCUCGUCCCGGCUAAUGAGACCGCGAUAACCCUUCCACUUGAUCCUUUUGGAAACAUCGGCACCAGGUCCUAUGUUGCCACUGGGUCCAGUGUUGGCAUACUCUGCUAUGUAACAUAAAUCCAUAUUUAUCUCAAUACCAUCCUUUAUCCAAGGGGUCCAUCCAUCUGGAUGAAUAAAGUCACCGAUGGUGGAUUCCAUGAAGACCAUCCUUGAAUAUGCCUUCCAUGGCCUGCCCAAGUAAGAUCUGAUUUGGGACUUUACCAAAUCUUCAUCUGUGACGAUCUCGCAGCCCUGGAUCACAAUACCAGUGUUCGUAUGCUGAGAAUCUACGGUUCCAUCUGCGGUAAUUGCGUUGAAUUGAUUGCUCUUGGGCUUCCUUACGAUGAUUUUAGAGUCUUGGAUCAAGGUGCUAGACAUUCCAAAGAUGAAAUCGAUGGUACCAGAGAUAACACAGUUGCUGUAGAAUUGCCUAUUGGAUUGAGCGUACAAGGUGUCUUGGUAACCUUUGAUUUCGCAACCAACGAAAGCAGACAUAUCUCCUAGGUUUCUCAAAGCAACAGCUUGAUUGCCAUCAGGACCGGCUGUGUUCUCAAAUGUCAUGUCCCUUGCAAUAAAUCGCUCUGCAUCGUUGCCUGCACCCACGCAUGGAUAAUCAAUUAGUAAUGUCAUCCAUAAUGUAAAUAAAAUAAAGUUAUGGCGAGAAUUGAAUUACGUACC